CAGGAGUCCUACUUCUCAAAGCAGGAACCAGAGGAACAACACAAGGCAUAAAAAAUGUAACCUGCACACACUGACAGUUUUAGCAGUCUCACCUGCAAGAAGCAAAAAUUCCAAGGAAAGCAAGAGAACAGGAGAUGAGACACUUAUGUAUCAAACUGAAGGUGAAGAAUGUGAAAGUACUUUAGGGUUUCCUGCCAAAAUUCCUCCAAGUUACCACAGAUGGAGGCACAAGAAGAAUGACGGGAUGUCCGAAUCAUUUUCUAUCACUGUCCUAUCAAAUGUACAACAGAACUCCCUUACAAGCAGCUCCCACUGGCUCUUUUACAGCAUGAAUACUCUAGUACUUCAACAAUGUGCAUUAAAAAAAACCAACCUGCUGGUGGCUAUGUUGUGUUUGAGAU